rnacentral:rRNA from 1 species
UGAGUAACGCGUGGGUAACCUGCCUCAUACAGGGCGAUAACAGUUAGAAAUGACUGCUAAUACCGCAUAAGACCACGGAGCCGCAUGGCUCAGUGGGAAAAACUCCGGUGGUAUGAGAUGGACCCGCGUCUGAUUAGGUAGUUGGUGGGGUAACGGCCUACCAAGCCAACGAUCAGUAGCCGACCUGAGAGGGUGACCGGCCACAUUGGGACUGAGACACGGCCCAAACUCCUACGGGAGGCAGCAGUGGGGAAUAUUGCACAAUGGGGGAAACCCUGAUGCAGCGACGCCGCGUGAGCGAAGAAGUAUUUCGGUAUGUAAAGCUCUAUCAGCAGGGAAGAAAAUGACGGUACCUGACUAAGAAGCACCGGCUAAAUACGUGCCAGCAGCCGCGGUAAUACGUAUGGUGCAAGCGUUAUCCGGAUUUACUGGGUGUAAAGGGAGCGUAGACGGCUGUGUAAGUCUGAAGUGAAAGCCCGGGGCUCAACCCCGGGACUGCUUUGGAAACUAUGCAGCUAGAGUGUCGGAGAGGUAAGUGGAAUUCCCAGUGUAGCGGUGAAAUGCGUAGAUAUUGGGAGGAACACCAGUGGCGAAGGCGGCUUACUGGACGAUGACUUGA